AUUGAACGCUGGCGGCAUGCCUUACACAUGCAAGUCGAACGGGGGUAGCAAUACCCUAGCGGCGAACGGGUGAGUAAUGCCUAGGAAUCUGCCUCGUAGUGGGGGACAACGUUUCGAAAGGAACGCUAAUACCGCAUACGUCCUACGGGAGAAAGUGGGGGAUCUUCGGACCUCACGCUAUGAGAUGAGCCUAGGUACGAUUAGCUAGUUGGUGGGGUAAAGGCUCACCAAGGCGACGAUCGUUAACUGGUCUGAGAGGAUGAUCAGUCACACUGGAACUGAGACACGGUCCAGACUCCUACGGGAGGCAGCAGUGGGGAAUAUUGGACAAUGGGGGAAACCCUGAUCCAGCCAUGCCGCGUGUGUGAAGAAGGCCUUCGGGUUGUAAAGCACUUUAAGCAGGGAGGAAGGUUUGCUGGUUAAUACCUGGCAAAAUUGACGUUACCUGCAGAAUAAGCACCGGCUAACUCUGUGCCAGCCGCCGCCGUAA
rnacentral:rRNA from 1 species